UUUUUCGCAUCUAAUCUUAAAAUAAAAAAAAAAUUAAAUUCUAUUCUACAUAAACAUAAACUUAAUUAUGAAUCAAAUUAUGUUUCUUCUACCGACCGUCCCUAGAGCAAGUGGCAAAGGACUUGGCGGUUGAUAUCCGAGACCCAAGUUCGAAUCCUAGUUGAAUCACAUUUCUAGCUAAGUUUAUUUCUAAAUGAAAUAAACGAAGCUGGUAGCGUGCUACCUAUCUCUCAAAUAUAUAUAUAUAUAUAUAGAGUCCGGCUACUAUACUAUCGAUAGCACGGAACGCUCCGUGCUACCAAGUUGUUUUCAAUGAUGCGGCUUUCAAAUCGACGAUCGGCUCCGUUAGACUUGAUCUAUACUAUUGAAAGUAUUUGAAAACUAAAUUUCAGAUUUUUUUGACAUCAUUUGACUAGUGAUAAAAAAAUCUCAAAAUUGACAAUUUUAACGGCUGAUGUGGUGUGUUUGAGAGUUUAACGGUGUAAAACAAUCCAAACCCGAUGAAAAUUUUAUAGAAAAUUUUUUUCACUAUUUAGAAUAAGAUCAGUAUAUCUGAUCUUGAAUUUAAAUCUUUUAUCAUCAUUUUUUAUGAGAUUUUUAUUUUCAGCCGUUCACUUUUAGACUACUUGUUUGAUAGGUAAAUGGUAUCGAAAAAUUAUGAAAUUUAGUUUCUAAAUACUUUUAAUAGUGUAGAUCAAGUCUAAUGGAACCGAUCGUCGAUUUGGAAGCCGCAUCAUCGAAAACAACUUAGUAGCACGGAGCACUCCGUGCUACCGAUAGUAUAGUAGC
rnacentral:lncRNA from 1 species